rnacentral:rRNA from 1 species
UGGGGAAUAUUGCACAAUGGGCGCAAGCCUGAUGCAGCCAUGCCGCGUGAAUGAUGAAGGCCUUAGGGUUGUAAAAUUCUUUCGCUAGGGAUGAUAAUGACAGUACCUAGUAAAGAAGCCCCGGCUAACUUCGUGCCAGCAGCCGCGGUAAUACGAAGGGGGCUAGCGUUGUUCGGAAUUACUGGGCGUAAAGCGCACGUAGGCGGGUUAUUAAGUCAGAUGUGAAAUCCCAAGGCUCAACCUUGGAACUGCAUUUGAAACUGAUAGCCUAGAGAUCAGGAGAGGUUAGCGGAAUACCGAGUGUAGAGGUGAAAUUCGUAGAUAUUCGGUGGAACACCAGUGGCGAAGGCGGCUAACUGGACUGAUACUGACGCUGAGGUGCGAAAGUGUGGGGAGCAAACAGG